AGUAACGCGUGGACAACCUGCCGCAUGCAGGGGGAUACCGGCUGGAAACAACCGCUAAUACCGCAUAUGCGCACGGCGCCGCAUGGCGCAGUGCGGAAAGGGAGCGAUCCCGGCAUGCGAUGGGUCCGCGUCCGAUUAGCUUGUUGGCGGGGCAGCGGCCCACCAAGGCGACGAUACAUAGGGGGACUGAGAGGUUAACCCCCCACAUUGGUACUGAGACACGGACCAAACUCCUACGGAAGGCAGCAG
rnacentral:rRNA from 1 species